GAUGAACGCUGGCGGCGUGCCUAACACAUGCAAGUCGAGCGAACCCUUCGGGGUGAGCGGCGGACGGGUGAGUAACGCGUGGGUAACCUGCCCUGUACACACGGAUAACAUACCGAAAGGUAUGCUAAUACGAGAUAAUAUGUAAUGAUCGCAUGGUCGAUACAUCAAAGCUCCGGCGGUACAGGAUGGACCCGCGUCUGAUUAGCUAGUUGGUGAGGUAAUGGCUCACCAAGGCGACGAGCAGUAGCCGACCUGAGAGGGUGAUCGGCCACAUUGGAACUGAGACACGGUCCAAACUCCUACGGGAGGCAGCAGUGGGGAAUAUUGCACAAUGGGCGAAAGCCUGAUGCAGCAACGCCGCGUGAGCGAUGAAGGCCUUCGGGUCGUAAAGCUCUGUCCUCAAGGAAGAUAAUGACGGUACUUGAGGAGGAAGCCCCGGCUAACUACGUGCCAGCAGCCGCCGUAACAC
rnacentral:rRNA from 1 species